CCUACGGGAGGCAGCAGCCGCGGUAAUAUUGCACAAUGGACGAAAGUCUGAUGCAGCAACGCCGCGUGCGCGAUGAAGGCCUUCGGGUCGUAAAGCGCUUUUCGGGUGGAUGAGAAGGGACAGUACACCCGGAAUCAGGAACGGCUAACUACGUGCCAGCAGCCGCGGUAAU
rnacentral:rRNA from 1 species